GUCAAACACAACCCUGACGUUGACGUAUACUAAUGAUGACAUGUCAUUAUAAUUACUCCUUCAUUCAGGUAAUUGCGCUCUUGGUCUCGAGAUGGAAAACAGUCAGAGGAUCAGAGGCGACAGUCUUCAGGCAUGUGCAAUUUUUGGGAUGGACAAUAGAUUCAAGCAACAGCGAAACUACUUGUCAUAUUUAUUUGAAUAUAGAUUCAACGUCUGGUUGGAAAAUGCAGGUUUGUCGGCUUCUGGCUCCUCGAGCAUGUGGAAAUCUAUAAACAUUGGAAUAUUCAUACUUGUUUCAGGAACAAAUGCUGUUCUCUGACUGAACUUUGCGAGCCAUGGCCAUUUUUUCGCAUUUUUGAGCGAAAAAAUGGAGAUCUCUCGACGAGUAUCCGGAAUUGCUCGGUCCAGUCGACACGCUCGUGUUUCUGAGGCCGUAAUAUAG
rnacentral:misc_RNA from 1 species